UACGGAGGGUGCGAGCGUUGUCCGGAAUCAUUGGGCGUAAAGGGCGCGUAGGUGGCGGGACAAGCGUGCGGUGAAAGCUCGGGGCUCAACCCCGCGUCGGCCGUGCGAACUGUUUUGCUGGAGCACUGUAGAGGCAGGCGGAAUUCCGGGUGUAGCGGUGGAAUGCGUAGAGAUCAGGAGGAAUACCGGUGGCGAAAGCGACUCUCUGGACGGCAACUGACGCUGAGGCACGAAAGCGUGGGGAGCAAACAGG
rnacentral:rRNA from 1 species